UUUCCGUAGGUGAACCUGCGGAAGGAUCAUUACAGAGUUCAUGCCCGAAAGGGUAGACCUCCCACCCUUGUGUAUCAUUACUUUGUUGCUUUGGCGAGCGCAAGCUAGCCAGAGCAUACCAAAACUCUUUUUAUUAAUGUCGUCUGAGUACUAUAUAAUCGUUAAAACUUUCAACAACGGAUCACUUGGUUCUG
rnacentral:misc_RNA from 1 species